CCCUUAGAUGUUCUGGGCCGCACGCGCGCUACACUGAUUCAUGCAACAAGUUUUGUCCUUGGCUGAUAGGCCUGGGUAAUCUUUGAACGUGAAUCGUGAUGGGGAUAGAUGAUUGCAAUUAUUCAUCUUCAACGAGGAAUUCCUAGUAAACGCAAGUCAUCAGCUUGCAUUGAUUACGUCCCUGCCCUUUGUACACACCGCCCGUCGCACCUACCGAUUGAAUGGUCCGGUGAAAUCUUCGGAUCUGAGGGAUGUCUGAUUAAUUUCGGACGCCUUUUGGAAAAGUUGUUUAAACCUUACCAUUUAGAGGAAGGUGAAGUCGUAACA
rnacentral:rRNA from 1 species